GAUAGUCAGAGAUAGAAAUAGUCAAAAGAAGUCAGAUAUAGUGAGAGAUAGUGAUAGUAAGUAGGUGAGAGUAAGGUAGGUAGAAGUAGGAAGGAGUAGAUUGGUGAGUCAGGUGGAGGAAGGUACAGGUGCAGAGAGAGGGAGAGCUUUUUGAAAAUGGAUCCCAGUAUCGUUACACAGCUGCUGGAUGUGAAACUCCAUAACCGUUAUCCUGAGGGGUCAACCAGUAAGGAGAAAUAUGUCAUUAAGAGGAGAGCUGAGACCUUCAGGUUAAAGGGUAAGGAUGCAUGCCACAUGCACUUUAGAACACAAUGAUCAUCUGCCAUGGUAAAACUCCCAAUAUAUCUAAUAUGACAUUUAAACACCAGAUGGAGACCAGUAUUACAUAUGCAGGCGCAAAAAAAAUAAGACUGAGCACCUGGCCUAAGUGGUUUCCAGUGCUGAGGAAGCGAGUGAACUCUUUGAGGAGUUCCAUUGUAGUGAUAUUGGUGGCCACUGUGGAAUUGAAAAGACUCAUAGUGCAAUCAUCACCCGCUACUAUUGGCCUGGAAUGGAGGAUGAUAUUCGCAAGUGGAUGAGUUGGUAUCUUCCAAAUAAUGUGGUGGAACACAUUUUUGUUCAAAAGUAGAGCAUAUAUAUGUUUGAAAGAUGUAUAAGCAAAGGACUAUCACUUUUCAAUAUAAUAUAGUAUAACAUAAUAUUCAUUUGCGCUACCAUUCGUCAUCAUUUUGAAAUAAUCUUUCACUGUUUAGAUUGCUCAGUGUCCACAGUGCCAUUUAAAGAGAGCGAACCUCAAAGAAAAGCAGGAGUACAAUCCAAUAGAGGUGACGGAGCCCUUUGAGCUCAUAGGGAUGGACCUGGUGGGUAAACUCACAGUAACAGAUGGUGGCAACCAGUACAUAUGUGUCAUGUUUGACUAUUUCACCAAAUGGGCAGAGGUAUACCCACUAAAGAGCAAAACAGCAGAUGAGGUGACCAAUUGUAUUCUCGAUUUCGUUUACAAAUUUGGUGCACCUAAAAAACUGCUAACAGACCAGGGCUCAGGAUUUUGCAACAAGGUCAACUAUGGCCUUUUGUUAGAGGCUGGGCAUCGAAAGAAGCCUGUGCUCCCCCUAUCAUCCACAGACCAAUGGCCUUGUGGAGAAACUGAAUGGGACAAUACAGAGGUCGCUGAACAAACUUGUGGCUGAACAACCCAAACAGUGGGACCAUUUCCUGCAGUCUACCAUGUUUGGCCUUCGGACCAAAAAGCAGCUGACCACGAAAUACAGCCCUUAUUAUUUGAUGUUUGGGAGGGAGGCCAGGUAUCCUUCUGAGGUGCCCAAGGAGUACAAAGUAACUGAAGACAAAGUCCGCAGCCUGCUGGUGAGGGAGGACAUCUGCGAAGGAGUCAGAAAGGUGCCUUCACAAACAUAAAAAAAAGUCAGGACAAAGUCCUUAAGAGGAAGGAAGAAAGGGGCCAGGAGGACAAUUUCACAGUGGGCGAUCUUGUCUUGAAAAAAAACAUCAGACAGGAGCAGAGAAAAGGGGGGAAGCUGGAGCCAGAUAUGUUGGGACC